UACGUAGGCAGCAAGCGUUGUUCGGAGUUACUGGGCGUAAAGGGUGCGUAGGCGGCUUUUUUAAGUUUGGUGUGAAAUCUCCCGGCUCAACUGGGAGGGUGCGCCGAAUACUGAGAGGCUAGAGUGUGGGAGAGGAAAGUGGAAUUCCUGGUGUAGCGGUGAAAUGCGUAGAUAUCAGGAGGAACACCGGUGGUGUAAACGGCUUUCUGGACCAUAACUGACGCUGAGGCACGAAAGCGUGGGUAGCAAACAGG
rnacentral:rRNA from 1 species